UUCUGUCAAUUUUUUUGUUAAUGGAGCCCACAUUUAGGUUUACUAAUGUUUUCCCUCCAAAACUUCCAAGACUGUACCUUCUUUAUAACAUAAUCCUCAUUCUCCCUCCAUCCUUGUUCCUCCUUCUUCUUUAACUUUCACCCAAAUUCAACCAUUUAGAGAACCAAACUUAAAAAGAACUUUUGGGUUGAAAAUGGAAUAAAGGAACAAAUCGAACAUGACAAGGUCAAGAAAAAAAGGUUCAACGAGUUGAUAUUGGUCAGCUGAGUUAUGCUACUGUGGAUCACCUUUGCAAAAGCUAACAUCAUGGACUCAUGAAAAUCCAGGUCGGAAAUUCUUAACUUGCAAGUACUAUGACAGAAACAGAUACUCGAACUUGUAUUUAUUUCUAUUGGAUGGAUAAGUAAAGCACCGAAUGGCAGAAGGUUAUGAUAAACCAACUACAAAAAAGUUGAUAAAGUUGAAGAUGAAUGUAGCGCUUAUGGGAGGCUUUGUUUUCGUAGUCGUAGUUGCAAUGUUGGUUGUGCUUUUCAAGUCGUUUCUUUUAAGUUAGGAAUGAAUGAAGCUUGUUGUAACAAAAUUCUAGUUUGUUAGUAAUUUGGAUUGUUAUGUUUUAGUGUUGUAGUGAUCACAUAAACUCAAGUUAUGUAGACAAUUUCUUGUCAUGUUUUGAGUUGAAUGAAAUGGAAUGAUUAAUGAUGAUUGUGUC